CCUUGGCUGAUAAGGUAGAGUGAACACAUUGAUUCCUGUAAUCGAUGGAAGGUAGUAUUUGCUUUGACUUCCUCACCUAAUUAACUUGCGUCAUUAUUCAGGUGCUGUACAAGAAGGACGGAGGGAGGGGUAAGACGAGAGGAGAAGAGAGAGAGAGAGACACGAGAGGCUGCAGAGGACUGCAGCUUGGGGCCACGCCUGUACUCUGCUGACAGAUGGAUGUUUCUAUCCUGGGCUUCAUUCUCGCCAUGUCAUCAUGACACUAAACAAGCCAGGCCUCACAACAAAGGCA